rnacentral:rRNA from 1 species
CCUACGGGAGGCAGCAGUGGGGAAUUUUGGACAAUGGACGCAAGUCUGAUCCAGCAAUGCCGCGUGCAGGACGAAGGCCUUCGGGUUGUAAACUGCUUUUGUACGGAACGAAACGGUCUUCUUUAAUACAGAGGGCUAAUGACGGUACCGUAAGAAUAAGCACCGGCUAACUACGUGCCAGCAGCCGCGGUAAUACGUAGGGUGCGAGCGCUAAUCGGAAUUACUGGGCGUAAAGCGUGCGCAGGCGGUUAUAUAAGUCAGAUGUGAAAUCCCCGGGCUCAACCUGGGACCUGCAUUUGAGACUGUAUAGCUAGAGUACGGUAGAGGGGGAUGGAAUUCCGCGUGUAGCAGUGAAAUGCGUAGAUAUGCGGAGGAACACCGAUGGCGAAGGCAAUCCCCUGGACCUGUACUGACGCUCAUGCACGAAAGCGUGGGGAGCAAACAGGAUUAGAUACCCUGGUAGUCCACGCCCUAAACGAUGUCAACUGGUUGUUGGGUCUUCACUGACUCAGUAACGAAGCUAACGCGUGAAGUUGACCGCCUGGGGAGUACGGCCGCAAGGUUGAAACUUAAANGAAAUUGACGG